rnacentral:rRNA from 1 species
GGUCCAGACUCCUACGGGAGGCAGCAGUGGGGAAUAUUGCACAAUGGGGGAAACCCUGAUGCAGCGACGCCGCGUGAGUGAAGAAGUAUUUCGGUAUGUAAAGCUCUAUCAGCAGGGAAGAAAUAGCGACCUUUGGGUCGCCAGACGGUACCUGACUAAGAAGCCCCGGCUAACUACGUGCCAGCAGCCGCGGUAAUACGUAGGGGGCAAGCGUUAUCCGGAUUUACUGGGUGUAAAGGGAGCGUAGACGGCAGCACAAGUCUGAAGUGAAAUGCCGGGGCUUAACCCCGGAACUGCUUUGGAAACUGUGUAGCUAGAGUGCAGGAGAGGUAAGUGGAAUUCCUAGUGUAGCGGUGAAAUGCGUAGAUAUUAGGAGGAACACCAGUGGCGAAGGCGGCUUGCUGGACGAUGACUGACGUUGAGGCUCGAAAGCGUGGGGAGCAAACAGGAUUAGAUACCCUAGUA